GACCCCAUGAAAAAAUAAUGCAUGGGCAUAUCAAAAACUUUAGCCAUCUGUCUCUCUCUCUCUCGUUCUCUUUUUUUUCUCUUCCCUACCUCCCAACCCUUCCCCUGUCUGCCAUAUAUACAUAUAAAGUUGAGGGGAAUGUCAUCUGGUUCGAGAUCAUCCAUGCAAGUAGUCUCAGACAAUACACUUCUGGAUGAUUUCGGACCAGGCUUCAUUCCCCUCAGCAAUCAAGCAGGCACUAUUUUCUUCCUCUAGUAUAUAAAUACACAACUUUUUUUUUUCUUUUUCUUUAGGCUGUCUCCUUGUGAUGUUGUGUGACUUGUGUCCUUGAACAAGUCCUCAGGCAAUUGAAGAUCAAAGAUUGAAGAAAAUGGUUAUGGAGGAUUAAUUGGUUAUUGUAUAAGCUUUCAGUUCUAUCAGGUGAGGAAGUUACCCUUUGUGGUUCCAAAGAACUAAAACUACAGAAUCAGAAAGAUGAGAGAAGAAAGGCAAGUGGAUUUGAUUUAUUCAAUGUGCUCCUUAGUUGCUGUAAUCCGGUAACUGAUAUAAUGAGAAGACUAUCACACGA